rnacentral:rRNA from 1 species
UUCCAGACUCCUACGGGAGGCAGCAGUGGGGAAUAUUGCACAAUGGGGGAAACCCUGAUGCAGCGACGCCGCGUGAGCGAGGAAGUAUUUCGGUAUGUAAAGCUCUGUCAGCAGGGAAGAAGAAUGACGGUACCUGAAGAAGAAGCACCGGCUAAAUACGUGCCAGCAGCCGCGGUAAUACGUAUGGUGCAAGCGUUAUCCGGAUUUACUGGGUGUAAAGGGAGCGCAGGCGGUUCUGCAAGUCUGAUGUGAAAGCCCGGGGCUCAACCGCGGGACUGCAUUGGAAACUGCGGGACUGGAGUGUCGGAGGGGUAAGUGGAAUUCCUGGUGUAGCGGUGAAAUGCGUAGAUAUCAGGAGGAACACCGGUGGCGAAGGCGGCUUACUGGACGACAACUGACGGUGAGGCGCGAAAGCGUGGGGAGCAAACAGGAUUAGAUACCCGAGUA